CCUACGGGAGGCAGCAGUGAGGAAUAUUGGUCAAUGGACGAGAGUCUGAACCAGCCAAGUAGCGUGAAGGAUGACUGCCCUAUGGGUUGUAAACUUCUUUUAUAUGGGAAUAAAACGUUCCACGUGUGGGAUUUUGUAUGUACCAUAUGAAUAAGGAUCGGCUAACUCCGUGCCAGCAGCCGCGGUAAUACGGAGGAUCCGAGCGUUAUCCGGAUUUAUUGGGUUUAAAGGGAGCGUAGGUGGAUUGUUAAGUCAGUUGUGAAAGUUUGCGGCUCAACCGUAAAAUUGCAGUUGAAACUGGCAGUCUUGAGUACAGUAGCGGUGGGCGGAAUGCGUGGUGUAGCGGUGAAAUGCUUAGAUAUCACGAAGAACUCCGAUUGCGAAGGCAGUUCACUGGACUGCAACUGACACUGAGGCUCGAAAGGGUGGGUAUCAAACAGGAUUAGAUACCCCAGUAGUC
rnacentral:rRNA from 1 species